GGAGCGGUGGGGGAUGGGGCGGGGGGGAGGGGUGUGGGGGGGCGGGGCUCUCUGGGAAACUCCGGGACACUCAGGCAAGGGGGAGCGUGUGCACCUGCUCGAGCCCUGCGGUUUUCUGUGGUCUUUCUGACACCCGGAAGGCGCUCUGCGCAGAUCGUGCUCUGGCUCCGGCCUGUUCUGCUGGGACUGCGACUGGUCGGUCCGCUCCGUCUCCCCGAGAGUUCCACCCGGCGUGGAAGCCCCGCGGGGCGCCCGCCGAUGCCCUCGCUGUGCGCUGACGACCAGGACCUAACCCCGCAGGGCAGAGGAACGGGCGCAACGCGGUUGAGGAAUGAAAAUCGCAAGAACGCGAGUCGCUUUGCACACAGAAACUGGCUCUAAAGCUACCCUUUUUAAAAAAUGUUUAGUUUUUAAAAUGAUGUAUCAACUUUACUGUGCACAUAAAUUCUUCAAUAAAAUUUUUUUAAAAAUUCCAAGUCAAUAACAUUACUUUAAGGGUCAUAACAUAAGGAUCUAGUAUCAAGAACAUGUAAGGAAAUCAUAGUGUAAAGAACUCAACAGUAAAAGAACAACCCAAUUUAAAAAUGUGCAGACUUGAAUAGAUAUUUCUCCAAAAAGGAUGUAAAAUGG
rnacentral:lncRNA from 1 species